GACGAACGCUGGCGGCGUGCUUAACACAUGCAAGUCGAACGCUGAAGCACCAGCUUGCUGGUGUGGAUGAGUGGCGAACGGGUGAGUAAUACGUGAGUAACCUGCCCUUGACUCUGGGAUAAGCCCGGGAAACUGGGUCUAAUACUGGAUGCUACAUGUCACCGCAUGGUGGUGUGUGGAAAGGGUUUACUGGUCUUGGAUGGGCUCACGGCCUAUCAGCUUGUUGGUGAGGUAAUGGCUCACCAAGGCGACGACGGGUAGCCGGCCUAAGAGGGUGACCGGCCACACUGGGACUGAGACACGGCCCAGACUCCUACGGGAGGCAGCAGUGGGGAAUAUUGCACAAUGGGCGAAAGCCUGAUGCAGCGACGCCGCGGGAGGGAUGACGGCCUUCGGGUUGUAAACCUCUUUCAGCAGGGAAGAAGCCACAAGUGACGGUACCUGCAGAAGAAGCGCCGGCUAACUACGUG
rnacentral:rRNA from 1 species